rnacentral:lncRNA from 1 species
AAAGAUUAAGCAAAAUUUCUUGGGAGAGUCAUACUAUCCAAAUGCAGCAAAAUAAACAUGAUGAAAUAUGCAUGGUUUCAAGUACCUGAAAGCCUUGGUUCUGCAUGUAGACUUCUAUUGGAUCUGACCGGAGAGGAGUCAGGCGACCGCUUCUCAGCAGUAAGAACUGAAGAUAAGGCAGCUACUGCAGCUGCUCUUUGUGAUCCCUGACUAACUCCUGAUGAGAACUAGCAGGUUUGGCCCCAGAAGAUGAACUAAAUUCAGAGUUUAAGGCAGCUAAUCCCGAAGCUCUUUGAGUUGGUCCUCCCUGAUUCGUCCCAUUGGACUUAUCCCGAUUGUGCAAUAGCAUAAUAAGAGAUCAACAUUCAUGUCACUUCAUUACCUCGUGCAAAAUCAUAAGCAAGAAGAGCCCCGAAGGCACAUAAAAUAGUCAAGCAUUUACAAUCUUCUUCUUUCCAAGGAACAGGUUUAGGAUAGUAAAUGUGAGAUUGUAUAUUCCUUAGGUAUAACACUUGAUAUUACCACUGUAUCAUGUGUUGGAUGAAUUAGAAUGACAACAAAAAUGAUAAAUAACAUUAGAGUUAUAAGAGCAUUUUGUUGGGAUACUAUUUGAAUAUUUGAAGUAUUUGGGGAUUCGAGUUGAGGAAG